rnacentral:lncRNA from 1 species
GGCAUCUUCUCUCUGCCUGGGAGCAGUGCAGCCACGGCCCUGCUGAUCCAGCGCACCAACGAGGAGGAGAAGUGGCUGGCGCGGCAGCGGCGCCUCCGGCAGGAGAAGGAAGACCGCCAGUCCCAGGUGUCCGAGUUCCGGCAGCAGGUCCUGGAGCAGCAUCUGGACCUGGGCCGGCCCCUGGUGCCCACAGAGGCGGAGCACAGGCCCGAGAGCACCAGGCCAGGACCAAACCGGCAUGACCAGGGCAGCCGAGAACCCCCACAGCACUUUGGUGGCCCACCACCCCUCAUCUCACCCAAGCCCCAGCACCACACCGUACCCACAGCCCUCUGGAACCCAGUAUCUCUGAUGGACAACACCCUGGAGAC